CGAACGGGGAGGUGUGCGGCGCGGACGCCGGCGACCUCCCGUCGACGGGGAGCUUCUCUGCCUCGCUGGAGAUGCGUCCCUGCUCGCGCGCCCGACUAUCCGUUGAGCAUGGAUCCCGGCUGCAACGUGACUUUUGUUGAAAAAAUUCCUGAAACUCGACCGUUGUUGCAAAAAAAAUCUUUGUAAAAAUACCUAUGUUAGAGAAAGACGAAGAAAAAAAAUCUACAACAAGC
rnacentral:lncRNA from 1 species